AACGAACGCUGGCGGCAUGCCUAACACAUGCAAGUCGAACGAGACCUUCGGGUCUAGUGGCGCACGGGUGCGUAACGCAUGGGAACCUGCCCUUAGGUUCGGAAUAACUCCCCGAAAGGGGUGCUAAUACCGGAUAAUGUCUUCGGACCAAAGAUUUAUCGCCUUUGGCUGGGCCCGCGUUGGAUUAGCUAGUUGGUAGGGUAAAAGCCUACCAAGGCGACGAUCCAUAGCUGGUCUGAGAGGAUGGUCAGCCACACUGGGACUGAGACACGGCCCAGACUCCUACGGGAGGCAGCAGGGGGGAAUAUUGGACAAUGGGCGAAAGCCUGAUCCAGCAAUGCCGCGUGAGGGAUGAAGGCCUUAGGGUUGUAAAGCCCUUUUAACCGGGAUGAUAAUGACAGGACCGGGAGAAUGAGCUCCGGCUAACUCCGUG
rnacentral:rRNA from 1 species